GUCCCAGUUCGGAUUGUAGUCUGCAACCCGAACUACAUGAAGCUGGAAUCGCUAGUAAUCGCAAAUCAGAAUGUUGCGGUGAAUACGUUCCCGGGUCUUGUACACACCGCCCGGCACACCAUGGGAGUUGGAAAUGCCCGAAGUCAGUGACCCAACCGAAAGGAGGGAGCUGCCGAAGGCAGGUCCGGUAACUGGGGUGAAGUCGUAACAAGGUAUC
rnacentral:rRNA from 1 species